rnacentral:rRNA from 1 species
CCCUUAGAUGUUCUGGGCGGCCCGCGCACUACAUUGGCACUGGCAACAAGAUCCUAGAUCUGAUAUUUCGGGGUAUUCUAUGAAGAGGUGUCGUGACUGGGAUUAACCCUUGCAAUUAUUGGUUACGAACGAGGAAUUCCUUGUAAUCGCGGUUUAUCAGCCCGCGUUGAAUGCGUCCCUGCCCUUUGUACACACCGCCCGUCGCUCCUACCGAUGAAUCGUUCGGUGAAGUUCAUGGAGGGGCGGUUGUUUCAGCUGCCGUCGAAGUGAAAUGGACCUGACGAUUUAGAGGAAGGAGAAGUCGUAACA